AUUUCUUCUGGAGAUCUACUAUGGUGAAGUUUUGUAAGUGAGCCCAGGAUAUGGUAUUCCACAUCUUAACAUCAUGUAGUGCACUGGGAGUUUAACUGUUAAUACUCAAGUUCUGGGUACCUGUCCUUCUGGAAGAAGAAGAACUACAUUCCCCAGGGGGCUUUGCAGUCAGAGAGGAGUUACAACUCCUGGCAAGGUCACCUGAUGUGACCUUCUUCAUCAGCUCUUCUUCGUCAGCUCUUCUCCUGUCUCCCUGCUGCUCAACUGGACUGCGCAUCUCACCUCAGUAUUAUGGAAAGAAGACAUAAGACAAGAAUGAAGCAGUAAGACAAACCCUGGAAGAAAGUUCCACUGUAGGUUUCUCUUUUCAACCUCAAGUUCAAGAUAUUUGCAUAACACUGACUCUCAGAAAUUUGGAAGGUGCUGAUAGGAAAUAUCUUUACUCUCUCUCCUGUAACCUUUUUCUUGACGUCUACCACUGAGCAAUGUUAGAAACAAAGCAGAGCUCUAAAUGGGCUUUUGGUUUGAUGUAAGAAAGCUAUCAUAUAUAAUUUUGCUAACUUAGGUAUUGAAAUAUUACUUUACAUUCCAAAUAUUUAGACAAAAAAGCAAAUAAUUUCACUAUUUUCAUUGUUGUUUUUAACCUAUGAGGACGGUCCAAAUGGCAUUUCUCAGUAAAGGCAUUAUGUAUUUAGAAUAUUUCAAUAAUAUGAAGUAAUGUAUUGGAGGGUCAUAUUUUCUGCCUCUUUUUUAUUUUGGGAAAGUGCCACAAAAUUCUGAGGUGGAUGAUUUGUCUUCACAGGGGUUGCUUCACUCGAAGAUUAUAUUUAGUUACUUGAAUAUGUUUUUCAUAGCAAAUAGUGCAUUUAUAUACAUAUGCCAUUUAUUAACUACUGAAGCAUUCAAUCAUCUUAUCAAAUGUCAAGUUGUUAUUUCUUUGAAGUUUAAGAGUUAAAAUUUAUCUGAAUCCAGAUAGUGUACUGGGUGAUACUUGGAUAUGUGCCUUAUGGUUCUAAGUCUUGCUCAAUACAUACUUGAUUAAUUUCAUGAACUUAUUUUUAUGUUUUUAAAAUGUUUAAUUUCAUUUAUAAUCUCCUCAUUUAUUUAUCAUUUCCUUUAAUAGCAUUUUCCUCAUCUCUCACUUCAAAGCUUCAUAAGAGAAGAGUUUUAAUAAAUUAAACAGACAGUUAAGAAUUUGACCACAUGAUGAUUGCUUUACUUGAAAUGCAGCAUAACAGUCUCUGAACUCAUUCUUGCUGAGCAUGACACUUGAAACUUCACCAUGAAAGCUACACUAUGAAAUUUUUAUUUACUUUCAUGUACUUUGCAGGUACAUUGAUCUUGUCAGGAUAAAAAUAAACAAUCAGGAAGCAAAUGGCAAUUCUUAUUUACUAUUUUUGUCCUCACAAAUCAAUGACUGGAAUGUUAAUGUCCAUGCAUUUUAGAGAGUUAUCUGGCAAUAUUUGAGUUGAUGCUGCAUAAUCCUAUGCCAUUUGCUGUUUUCCUGUCAUUUGUUUAAUGCUAAACUACCAGGAAAUUUAAAAUCUUGCUCAAGGUUAAAAGCCUGCAGAGUUACUGAAUGUAAAAGGAAAGUUCAGCAGGAUUUUGUGGUCUCCUAUUGAACUGUUUGUCAACGCUGAUGUACUUUAAAUGGUACAGUAGGGGCUAAUAAUGGGAAAGCACACACAUUUACAUUAAUUAUCAUAAUUUUCACCCUAAAUAAUAUUAAGAGAACUUUAUCUGUUCUCAAUUUUCUUUAAUUGUCAAGGACAACAACAUAUAGAUUAUCCAUGACUGAAAACCUGCCUAACAACUCCAUGAAUAAUAAGCACUAGUCUAUGAAUAAUGGCUAAAUUCCAGAUUGUUGCACCAAGUCAAGAGGCUCUGUUAAAUACCACUUCUACUGAUAAGCUGUAAGUAAAAAAAAAAAAAACAUGAGAUCAGAAAGUUUACCAUUUCACAGGAUGCUAUUACCCUCUUUACUCUUUGCUGAUGAUGCUGCCUUUAGAAAGAUUUGUGUCCAGCUUGGGUGCCAUAGUUCAAGAAAAAAUAAAGCAGGUUUAACUUGCUGGGUGUGAUCAUUUUCUCAGUGUCUUUGAAUGAACCACAGUCCUAAACAGAAUAUAUUAAUGAAUUAAAUUAUGUCAGUUAUGUGUGAAACAGAUGAUAUUAUGUAUAGAAAUUGUGCUGAUCGAGACUGAAUUUUUG